rnacentral:rRNA from 1 species
AAUGAACGCUGGCGGAAUGCUUUACACAUGCAAGUCGAACGGUAGAGGGGGCAACCCCUCGAGAGUGGCGAACGGGUGAGUAAUAUAUCGGAACGUGCCCAGUCGUGGGGGAUAACGUAGCGAAAGUUACGCUAAUACCGCAUACGAUCUAAGGAUGAAAGCGGGGGAUCGCAAGACCUCGCGCGAUUGGAGCGGCCGAUAUCAGAUUAGGUAGUUGGUGGGGUAAAGGCUCACCAAGCCAACGAUCUGUAGCUGGUCUGAGAGGACGACCAGCCACACUGGAACUGAGACACUGUCCAGACUCCUACGGGAGGCAGCAGUGGGGAAUUUUGGACAAUGGACGCAAGUCUGAUCCAGCCAUUCCGCGUGCAGGAUGAAGGCCCUCGGGUUGUAAACUGCUUUUGUACGGAACGAAAAGGUCUCUCUUAAUACGGGGGACUCAUGACGGUACCGUAAGAAUAAGCACCGGCUAACUACGUGCCAGCAGCCGCGGUAA